GCGGCCACUGCUAUCAAGUUCCGACUAAGCCAUGCGAGUCAAGGUAUCGUAAGAUGCCGGCAAACUGCUCAGUAACACGUGGAUAAUCUAACCUUGAGUAAGGGAUAACUUCGGGAAACUGAAGGUAAUACCUUAUAAUUGCUUAAAACUGGAAUGUUUUUGCAAUAAAAGUUACGACGCUCAAGGAUGAGUCUGCGACCUAUCAGGUAGUAGGUGGUGUAAUGGACCACCUAGCCUCAGACGGGUACGGGCCCUGGGAGGGGUAGCCCGGAGAUGGACUCUGAGACAUAAGUCCAGGCCCUACGGGGCGCAGCAGGCACGAACACUGUGCAAUGCGCGAAAGCGCGACACGGGGAGCUUGAGUGUCUUGGCAUAGCCAAGACUUUUCUCAUUCCUAAAAAGCAUGAGGAAUAAGUGCUGGGUAAGACGGGUGCCAGCCGCCGCGGUAACACCCGCAGCACGAGUAGUGGUCACUUUUAUUGAGCCUAAAGCGUUCGUAGCCGGUUUUGCAAAUCUUCAGAUAAAGCCUGAAGCUUAACUCCAGAAAGUCUGAAGAGACUGCAAGACUUGAGAUCGGGUGAGGUUAAACGUACUUUCAGGGUAGGGGUAAAAUCCUGUAAUCCCGGAAGGACGACCAGUGGCGAAAGCGUUUAACUAGAACGAAUCUGACGGUAAGGAACGAAGGCUAGGGUAGCAAACCGGAUUAGAUACCCGGGUAGUCCUAGCUGUAAACAUUGCCCAUUUGAUGUUGCUUUUCCGUUGAGGGAAGGCAGUGUCGGAGCGAAGGUGUUAAAUGGGCCGCUUGGGAAGUAUGGUCGCAAGACUGAAACUUAA
rnacentral:rRNA from 1 species